rnacentral:rRNA from 1 species
UACGUAGGGUGCGAGCGUUAAUCGGAAUUACUGGGCGUAAAGCGUGCGCAGGCGGUUCUGCAAGUCAGAUGUGAAAUCCCCGGGCUUAACCUGGGAACUGCGUUUGAAACUACGGAGCUAGAGUGCGGCAGAGGGGGGUGGAAUUCCACGUGUAGCAGUGAAAUGCGUAGAUAUCAGGAGGAACACCGAUGGCGAAGGCAGGUCUCUGGGCUGACACUGACGCUCAUGCACGAAAGCGUGGGGAGCAAACAGG